GAGUUUGAUCCUGGCUCAGAAUCAACGCUGGCGGCGUGCCUAACACAUGCAAGUCGAACGCGAAAGGGGCGCAAGCCCUGAGUAGAGUGGCAAACGGGUGAGUAACACGUGGGUGACCUGCCUUCGAGUGGGGGAUAACGUUCCGAAAGGAACGCUAAUACCGCAUGACAUCCUGCGUUUGGAGACGCGGACAUCAAAGCUGGGGAUCGCAAGACCUGGCGCUCGGAGAGGGGCCCGCGGCUGAUUAGCUAGUUGGUGGGGUAAUGGCUCACCAAGGCGACGAUCAGUAUCCGGCCUGAGAGGGCGGACGGACACACUGGGACUGAGACACGGCCCAGACUCCUACGGGAGGCAGCAGUGGGGAAUUGUUCGCAAUGGGCGCAAGCCUGACGACGCAACGCCGCGUGGAGGACGAAGAUCUUCGGGUCGUAAACUCCUGUCGAGCGGGAAGAAUGGGCGUGUGGUGAAUACCCGCACGCCGUGACGGUACCGCUAAAGGAA
rnacentral:rRNA from 1 species